AGAGCAACGGCCAGAGGAGAAGCGUGCUAAACCAGCGCCUCCUUUCCCCGGCUUGCGCGCGUUUUAUCAAGUGACCACCUAUAGAUACUUGGGGCACCCAUCCAGGCACUAUACAUCUCGGCUCGCCCUCGCACACUUCCUUUAACGCGCACAGCUAACGGCGCAGGAUAGGAUCUUAUCGCACUUUAUACGUAAGCUCACGGCAACACCGACAGAUAUAUUUCGGCGGUUGUGUCCAUAUAAUUGCUAUCGCAAAAUUCGCAAUACAUAGAAAAUUUUACUAAGGACCAACCACGCUGCUGCCAUGUCGUGAUAGAGCGGUGAACGAUAGUUCUAGAAAAUGUGUUGCUAAAUCUCCGCCAAAUGACUACACGCUCGCAUUUGGUGAGAGCGGCACACAGUCGCAAGAACUUGUGGAGGAAAUACCGGAGUUCUGGCAGCUUCAGGUGCACUAGAUCAUUCAGUAACAUGGGCGGCUUUGUAGUUCUACCUUACAUCAGAGCAAACUGCACUCCACAGAAAUCAAGGGCAGCCGCACCGUUAUAGCUAAGAAAAUUAAGGACAAUUACGCCGCGUCUUCAGACUUCGAGCACGCUCCGACAGCCCAGCGAUAGGUAUUUAAAACACAACCACACUCGGACGAGAAAAGUUUGCUUCUGCCAAGUGAACGUAGCGGGUAUUUCAAGACGCGUGUUAAAUUCAUGGCUGUUUCAUUCGUAAACAUUACUUAAGUGACGUAAAAUUAUCAGUGAGCAAAACAGUUUUUAUUUCAACGCGAGGAAACAAAACCGAAACUAGCGCAACUGUUUUGCUCAGUUGUGCAGCUACAAAAUGAUCCAGAGCCGAAGCCGUCAAUAGCAUGACGCCAUUUUCAAGUUGCGCUGCCUCACGCUCGUGUCGUUGAGUGGUUCUGAAAUCGCUGCGCUAGGGGAGACUGCAACCAAGCGUUGCGGCAAGUUACGGUGGGAGCUUCUGUCCGUGCUGUGUGAUUGCGACCAGGGGACCGCCGCCAGCAGCAGCGUUUCGCCGAUUUCGUCUUUGCCGACAUCGAGCAAGUGCGCUCGCCGGACCGUAACAAGCGCCCGAAGUGCUGCGGUUUGCACUGCAUCUUUCAUUGUGAUAUGGGAGAUCGCAACGGACAGAGACGACCAGAUGCAUACGAACCACUACCAGCGGGGACCUGUGACCUGUGCCAUAUUUCUCUUAACGUCUCAGGUAUUCAAGAAAUGGCAACAGCCAGAAGUCACCAUCUUACCAGCACGUUAUGGGUACACUCUGGCGGCUCCUACCCCUGUGUCCUCCCACCACCCUGUCCUGACUACAUCCACUAGGUAGUUGGGAGCCUUUGGCGGCUUCUGCCACUGCAUCCUGCCGCCACCAUGUCCCGACUAUGUCCACUAGGGAGUUGGCAGCCUUAGUGAUGAUGCCAGCAGGCUGACAGCGGACAGAAAGAUUCAGGUUGCCUCGAAAUUUUACCCAAGCGAUGCCGCACACUCGGGCCAGGCCUCUUGCGAACGACGUAUAACCAGGCUCAACGCAUCAGGGUCGAGGGAGUCCGGAGAUCAAGGCAACCUGCUCUGCAACCAGCGUGCAACCUUUGGUGACCCCUCUACAUGUGCUACCUAUUUCACAGCUGUGCCUCACCUACCAUCUAUCCAAACAGCAUCACCGGCUGUGAUCACUUAUCGAACCAUGGAUGAAUGUUGGGGUGGAGUGAUUUGAACAGACAUUCUAUUUGUCUCUUCAAAUUCUUUGUAAAUAUUUCUGUUAUAAUUCAUAUGUGUCUUUAGUAUCUAGUUUUUAAUAGUUCCUUUCUCUUAGAAUUCUCACCAUCAGCCCCUGCUAUUCUAAUGUAUACCUGCCUUUAAGCCCCGUUUCUCGUAGUUCUUUCGUACUUGUGGAUGUAAUUGAUAGGUUAUUAAUUCUUGUUGUACGGAAGGCUAAAAUACGAACUUACGGCAUUUUUUCUUCCUUUGAUAAUCUACAGCACUGCAAUGUGUUCAAAAAAUGUAACAUAACACGGGCUCUGGUGCAGGAUAAAUUUAAGAGCAAUAUAGAGUACUUAUUUCAAGCACCCAUUAUUUUUUAAAAACUCAAGGAUAUAGGAGCACAAGAAAGAAACUAUUGAACUAGAGAAACAUUGGUUCCCCUCAUAAGUCUGGCAAUAAUGUGACUUCUUUCACUGCAAAGAUACUGGUACUCGCAUACAAGGUUUGAGACAUGAAAGCUAUGAUACCCUUGGCAUUUCUCAGUGCUUAUUUGCCACACUGACGAAUGUCAAAGGCAGCAUAGGUUUCAUGCACACAUUGGUUGUAUUACACCUUUUGAGUAUUGCAUUUCUCAAACACACGGGUUUGCAGCAGUGCUUUAAAUAGCAGAUGUAUUUCCUAAUUUUCAGAAUUUGUUAGUGCAAGAGUAACGCUACAGAUCAUGUAAAAAUAAUUUUACAGACUAUAUGUCCAUGGAUGCAUGUUUCUUCUGAUGACGUAGCAGUGCCAUGUGGUCGGGGGAUGAAUGUCUAUUUCAGAUUUAAAUAUUGGCUUCCAGGCCUGGGUUAGUCUCCUACACUGAGUAUUCUAGGUCAAAGCCCAGUUACUAGAGGAAAGUGAAUAAAACUAGGAAUUAUAAACAUCAAAAGAUCUUGUUCGGGACACUAAUGUAACAAUCAGCAAGGUUCUUUGUGCAUUCAUUUCCAGAUUUGCGAGAUUAUAUUUUGACUGGUUUCAUUAAUGCGAGAACAAAUAUUUGUUUAUUCUCAUGCUAGAGUUGGCUGCCCCCAUUCGCAUACAACCCCUUUACAGGCUAAAAAUUAAGUGUAUUAAUAGGCUGUUUUUCGGUUUUGCGCCCUCAGUGUUAAGGGAUGCAAAUGGUGUCAUACAACAGAAUGCAGAAAAAUGUCUAAGGAAUGCAAGCAGGGCAUGGGACUUUUUAGACAGAUGCAUGUGUGUGCUAUUUAUAAAACUCCCUAUGGUAUGCCUCAAGGAGUUUUGUAACCCUUUGGUAGAAACACUGACACCCACUUAUUAAGGGGAAAUGCUCCUCGAAACAACUUUUUUAAUUUGUACUAGAAAUUUGAAUGUACUGCUAUUCAUAGGCAGUUUUAUGUAGAUUUGAAUUGUCAUUGGUUUUUGUGUAGCUGGUGUUUAGUUAUGUCCUACAUAGUGGCAAUAUAUUUUUAUGGGCACUUGUGUGUAAAAGUUUCGCAAAUGGUUUCAUGCUGUAUCUUAUUUAGCUAGGUGUAUACCGCAAAGUGGCGAUACCUAUCCAAACAGCUUGUACAAUUACUGGAAUUAUGCAAAAAAUAUUAGGCCACUUUAAAUAAUUUUUAGAUUGCAAUUUCAAUUAGAUACUGGUAUUCUGCUUAUCUUGAAGAGUAUGUAUGCCAAAUUUAAUUUGUAAAGGACAAUUAUAAAGCACGAGGUUAUUCUCAUGCUAUUGUGAGAAAAAAUUAUUGAAGUAUUCUCAAUAAUUUUAGUAGCAGGCCUGCCUGCCUGCCUACUAAUCUUGCAUACUUCUAGUAACUUUACGUGCUGUUUGAAUAGAUAUCGGCACCUGGCAGUCUACAGGGAGCUGAGUUAGCUGCAGCACACUGCUUUUUUGUGAAAAUUUAAUACACAAGAAAGUGCCCGCAAAUAUCACUAUGUAUUUCGCCGUUGUAUAGGACAUAACUCACGAAGCAGCUAAACAAAAACUAAUGGAAUAUAUGAAAUCUGCAUGAAGAACUCUACAAUUGGCUCUCUUUUGAAACCUCUAGUACAAAUAAUAAAAAUAUUUCGAGUAAUAUUCAAUCAGCAAAACGUUCCCCUUGCUACAGUGACCUACAACAUAGCGACGCAAAGCUUAAGGCAAGUCCUCUUGUCGAAGCAAAUAUGGGCUGUCUUCCCAAGGGCUUCUGUUAAAGACGGUGAAUUUUCCUGCAUUUACCAGAAGUGCAAUACUAAAAUGUUUGUGAAUGUGCGAUUGGUAUUGGCACACUAACAGAAAAAAAGACAGUUCUGUGAAAUGUAGACUUGAGACGUGACUUUGUUGGACAUUUAAAUUUUGACUCCAUAUAUUUGUGUUUUGUACUGAGUGUUUCACCGGUGACUGCCACUAAUUAUUGAACAUAACUGCUUCAUGACAGUGCGACAAUUUUCACUAACAUAAAUUUUAGCUGUGGCAGGCAUUAGAAUUACAGUACUCAAUAACGUCUACUUUGUAAGAACUCAGACUAGCACCAGUUCUGAGAUACAUAUACCCAAAAAGUAAUGAUCAAAUAGAUUUCUUUUCCACACAGAAUUGCCCUACAAGGAUUACAGAAGGCUUUUUGGCAAAGUAAUAUCCGAAAGAGCAAAGCAUGUUCCACCAAGUAUGGUGACAAAUAUUUCAGAGCUGCUAGUCUGAGGACUCCUACAAACUAACAAUACCUUCAGCACUGACUAGCUUCAAUAAUGGGAUGUCAGUGUUUUGCUAAAAUUAAUGAAACUUCAAUUAUUGUGAUCUUGUUUAAGAAGACAUAUGUAAUUAACAUGCAGUUCUAAUCUCUGUCACUUUUGUAAAUAUUUCCCAAUUAUUUUUUCAGGCUACAAUUUUUGGUUAUAAUGGUAUUCAUUGCAGAAAAAGCUAGUACAUGGCAUUUAAUAAAGAAGGUACUGGUCAUUGUAGAUUUUCUGUCUUCAGCAUUUGUUCUGUUCCACAGCUGUUUCUUGAAAUCUGAAAUGAUUUACCCAUCACUUUGUUAGCGAUCAACAGGGAAAUCUGUCAGUAUGUUUUGUUUAAAAUGGAGCUGAUAAACCCAAUAGUUAGGCUAUUUGCUAAUUAUAAAUUACAAUGAUAAUAGUACAGGACCAUAAGAACAGACUGAUGCUGAAUAACAGCUGUGCCCAGCUACAUCCACGCAGCUUUGCCACACAAUGUGCAUGUGUUCAGAAGAGCCAAAUGCCCCAGAGAGAAAGCAACAGUAACUAAUUGUUCGUCAUCUUGUACAAGCAGAUUAUGCGCUAGAUGUAAAUCAUGCUCAGUAAAUACAUAAGUCAGUCAUGUGAGGUGUCUCACUUUUGGUUGCAAGUUGGAACUUGUUGCAAUCUUGGUUGUUUUUAUUUUGUUUCCUUUGUGAGCAUGAGUGACUUAGUUGCCUUGACACAUAUUAUCAAAACUGUUUCUUCAUCACUGGGAAUCACAAAAUUUCAAUUACACAUAAAAUUUCCAGUUACUGAUAUGGUAGACUUCGAAGUUAAUUCUCUUAUCUACCAAGUAGUUUUAUCAUUCAUUGAAACAUAUCCAUGCAAUGCACAAUGGGACCCCAAAUUAUAAAUAUCUGUUCUUGCUUUCUACCCUGCUCUACAACAUUAUGAUGAUACAAAGCAAAACUAUAAGUUUACAAUUGUCCCCCAUAACCUGAGUUUCGCUUAGAAUUUGAAAAACAAAAUUGACAUCCUGCUAUAGUGUGAGAGUUGCUUUGGGCACCAAGUGAACUGCGUAGCACCUGUGCUAGAGUACACAACAAAGCAGAAAAUCGCACCAGAUUGCAAUGGCAGUGGUAAGUUAAGAACAGAAAGUUAAGAACAGAUGUUUUAUUUCACGCACCAUUAAUGUGGCUUAUCAUCUGCUCCUGUUUUGUGGGAACGCAUACAUUGGGAAGACAAUUUUUUGCACCAAUCUUACCUUAGUGGGACACUUGAGAAAGGUAGAAAUCAAGAACAGGUAUUCACACUUUGUUGCCCACAGUGUAUUUAUUAUCUGAAUGUGUUUCACUCUACAAAAGACUACUGUGGUAGAUAAUCAUAAAGACCAAGACAAAAGAAUUAAAAGAAGUAUGUGUCAGUCAUCCUUCCAUGAUCUCCCGUGUUUAUAGCAACACUUCUUUCUGCAUAUGUGCGAAAGUGUAGGGAAGCAUUACAUAACUCAGUCAUGCUUUCCAAGUUAAAAAUCGGAAUAAGGACGAUCACAAGAACAUUGUAUGAGUGAUUUGUAAAUGUGGCAUCUAAUCUAACUUAUUUACGUAUGUGCUGAGGGUACAUUACAGCCAGUGCAUAAUCUGUCUGCUCUUACAGGAUAGCUUGUGAUGAGUAAAAGAAGCCUUCCUCACAUUUUCCUCUUUGUUUCUUUUGGACCUCGGUGCACCAUGUGUAUUGUUACAGCUGCAUGCAUGCAGCUGGGUAUAGUUUGUGUUCUGCUAACUCCCUUGUCCUCAUUAUUCAUGUGCUAUCUUUGCCGUAACAAAAUACAGCUACCUGUGCUACAUAUUUUGUCAGCGUGUUUGCAUUAUGGCAAGUUUUGUAUUAGUGGUUAUUGCAAUCUGCGAAAUUGUCUGUCAGCUAUUAUACUUCGUCUUAAAAAGUAUGUUUGUCAACAUAAAUAAACAAUUAGUAUAAAUUUUGCUCUAUUUAUUUUUGUAAUAUUAUCUGUUGUGAAGCUUUUAUACACUGUUGCAUGUUGUAUGACAAUAAAAUUGAUGAACAACUUU